AACAAGACUUAUAGAAACCGGAAAACCCUCAGAGAUGCGGGGUCCCUUUGAGGAGGGUGAAAGAUGGUGCAUGGCUGUCGUCAGCAAAUGUAGUAAGAUGUUGGAAUAAAUCCCGCAAAGAGCGCAACCCUCGUUCCAUGUUGCCAGCACGUAAUGGUGGGGACUCAUGGGAGACCGCCGGGGUCAACUCGGAGGAAGGUGGGGAUGACGUCAAGUCAUCAUGCCCCUUAUGUCUUGGGCUGCAAACAUGCUACAAUGGCCGGUACAGAGGGCUGCGAUACCGUGAGGUGGAGCGAAUCCCUAAAAGCCGGUCUCAGUUCGGAUCGAAGUCUGCAACUUGACUUCGUGAAGUCGGAGUCGCUAGUAAUCGCAGAUCAGCAAUGCUGCGGUGAAUACGUUCCCGGGCCUUGUACACACCGCCCGUCACGUCACGAAGGUCGGCAACACCCGAAGCCCGUGGCCCAACCCUUGUGGGGGGAGCGGUCGAAGGUGGGGCCGGCGAUUGGGACGAAGUCGUAACAAGGUAGCCGUACCGGAAGGUGCGGCUGGAUCACCU
rnacentral:rRNA from 1 species